CAAGGUGGGGGAGCGGCAGACGGCUGAGUAACACGUUGGUACUUGCCCCACACUCGAGGAUAGCUCGGAGAAAUCCGGAUUAAUACUCGAUAGUUCCGCCUCGGCGGAUAAAGAAUUUCGGUGUGGGAGAGGCCUGCGGCCUAUCAGUUUGUUGGUGAGGUAACGGCUUACCAAGACAAUGACGGGUAGCUGGAUUGAGAGAUCGAUCAGCCAGAAUGGGACUGAGACACGGCCCAUACUCC
rnacentral:rRNA from 1 species